AGACCCGAAACCCGGUGAUCUAGCCAUGGGCAGGUUGAAGGUUGGGUAACACUAACUGGAGGACCGAACCGACUAAUGUUGAAAAAUUAGCGGAUGACCUGUGGCUGGGGGUGAAAGGCCAAUCAAACCGGGAGAUAGCUGGUUCUCCCCGAAAGCUAUUUAGGUAGCGCCUCGUGAAUUCAUCUCCGGGGGUAGAGCACUGUUUCGGCUAGGGGGCCAUCCCGGCUUACCAACCCGAUGCAAACUGCGAAUACCGGAGAAUGUUAUCACGGGAGACACACGGCGGGUGCUAACGUCCGUCGUGAAGAGGGAAACAACCCAGACCGCCAGCUAAGGUCCCAAAGUCAUGGUUAAGUGGGAAACGAUGUGGGAAGGCCCAGACAGCCAGGAUGUUGGCUUAGAAGCAGCCAUCAUUUAAAGAAAGCGUAAUAGCUCACUGGUCGAGUCGGCCUGCGCGGAAGAUGUAACGGGGCUAAACCAUGCACCGAAGCUGCGGCAGCGACACUGUGUGUUGUUGGGUAGGGGAGCGUUCUGUAAGCCUGUGAAGGUGGCCUGUGAGGGUUGCUGGAGGUAUCAGAAGUGCGAAUGCUGACAUAAGUAACGAUAAAGCGGGUGAAAAGCCCGCUCGCCGGAAGACCAAGGGUUCCUGUCCAACGUUAAUCGGGGCAGGGUGAGUCGACCCCUAAGGCGAGGCCGAAAGGCGUAGUCGAUGGGAAACAGGUUAAUAUUCCUGUACUUGGUGUUACUGCGAAGGGGGGACGGAGAAGGCUAUGUUGGCCGGGCGACGGUUGUCCCGGUUUAAGCGUGUAGGCUGGUUUUCCAGGCAAAUCCGGAAAAUCAAG
rnacentral:rRNA from 1 species